rnacentral:rRNA from 1 species
CCGUAACUAUAACGGUCCUAAGGUAGCGAAAUUCCUUGUCGGGUAAGUUCCGACCUGCACGAAUGGCGUAAUGAUGGCCAGGCUGUCUCCACCCGAGACUCAGUGAAAUUGAACUCGCUGUGAAGAUGCAGUGUACCCGCGGCAAGACGGAAAGACCCCGUGAACCUUUACUAUAGCUUGACACUGAACAUUGAGCCUUGAUGUGUAGGAUAGGUGGGAGGCUUUGAAGCGUGGACGCCAGUCUGCGUGGAGCCAACCUUGAAAUACCACCCUUUAAUGUUUGAUGUUCUAACGUUGGCCCCUUACCGGGGUUGCGGACAGUGUCUGGUGGGUAGUUUGACUGGGGCGGUCUCCUCCCAAAGCGUAACGGAGGAGCACGAAGGUUAGCUAAUCCUGGUCGGACAUCAGGAGGUUAGUGCAAUGGCAUAAGCUAGCUUGACUGCGAGCGUGACGGCGCGAGCAGGUGCGAAAGCAGGUCAUAGUGAUCCGGUGGUUCUGAAUGGAAGGGCCAUCGCUCAACGGAUAAAAGGUACUCCGGGGAUAACAGGCUGAUACCGCCCAAGAGUUCAUAUCGACGGCGGUGUUUGGCACCUCGAUGUCGGCUCAUCACAUCCUGGGGCUGAAGUAGGUCCCAAGGGUAUGGCUGUUCGCCAUUUAAAGUGGUACGCGAGCUGGGUUUAGAACGUCGUGAGACAGUUCGGUCCCUAUCUGCCGUGGGCGCUGGAGAAUUGAGGGGGGCUGCUCCUAGUACGAGAGGACCGGAGUGGACGCAUCACUGGUGUUCGGGUUGUCAUGCCAAUGGCACUGCCCGGUAGCUAAAUGCGGAAGAGAUAAGUGCUGAAAGCAUCUAAGCACGAAACUUGCCCCGAGAUGAGUUCUCCCUGAGACUUUAAGUCUCCUGAAGGAACGUUAAAGACGAUGACGUUGAUAGGCCGGGUGUGUAAGCGCAGCGAUGCGUUGAGCUAACCGGUACUAAUGAACCGUGAGGCUUAACCUU